rnacentral:rRNA from 1 species
GCCCAACCAUAACACAACAAUUAAACCACAGAUUGUUCGCCAAAUAACUACGAGUAAAAACUUAAAACUUAAAAGACUUGACGGUACUUCACAACAACCUAGAGGAGCCUGUCCAAUAACCGAUAACCCGCGAUUAACCCAACCCCCUUUCGCCCACAGUCUAUAUACCGCCGUCGCCAGCACACCUUGUGAAAGAAACAAAGUAAGCUAAAUAACACCACAUUAACACGACAGGUCGAGGUGUAACUCAUGAGGGGGGAAGGAUGGGCUACAUUUUCCACCAGAAUAAACGAACGCGAUUACGAAAUUAACCGCCAAAGGCGGAUUUAGCAGUAAGAUGGGAAUAAAACACCUAACUGAAACAUGCAAUGAAGUGCGUACACACCGCCCGUCAUCCCUGUAACACCUAAAAAAACCUAUAUAACACCACCGCCCCCUUAAAGCAGGGCAAGUCGUAACAUGGUAAGUGUACUGGAAAGUGUACUUAGUAA